GCGCCUUCUCCUUGGGCUGAAGUGGCCGGGCCACAAGAAGCGAACCAAGGCAGCGGCGGGCGCUACCACCGUUCCUGGAAAGGAGACCAAGGACGGUGUAGGGAAUGGUUUUCACUGAGGGUGCUGUGGAGGGCUUGGGCGGAACCGGCGUUCAUGCUUCGUGCUACAACCCAUGCUCCAGAUUAGCAGAUUGCCGGCUCCUGUCACGAUUAAGAAACGCGAGUGUGCCACGAAGCAGUCAAUGUGAGAAAACUACAUCUUCGUGUCACCCGUGGCUCCACAGCAGCCAGUCACAUGAGCUUCGUGGCGGCUCCACGAUCAUGUGGAGCACGACAUCGACAUGACAACCAGCCCGAUGACCACUGGUGCGGGAACUCCGGUGUUGGAGUGAGCUAAUUCGUCUUCUCGAGCUCGCAGAUGGCUGCCUUUGAAAGCUGCAGGACAGAAGAAAGACAUGAAACUUUUGCUGGUCAAAGACGCAUCGCCUCGAUCUUAUUAACGAAAGGUCCUUGUGCAUGUUUCAUAUAUCUGGUAAUGCAGAGAUCAGCAAACACACAACAAAACAUAUAUGAGCUAGAUUUCAUCGUUGUAGACCAUGAGGUAUUUAUUAAUAAACAUGAGCAUUACAUCUAUUUUCCCCAUUUACUUAUUAUUAUGUAUACAACACUGCUUCUACUUACACGUGGUAAUAAACAAAUGAAAACUUUGAUAGGGUAGUUUCACUUUGUCUGAUGAGUCUAUUUUACUUAUGAUUUCCCAUGGGAGGAGGAAUGGGUGAUACUUUUUUCUUUAGGGUAUGCAAAUAUGUAUAGAU